rnacentral:rRNA from 1 species
GACGUAGGGCGCAAGCGUUGUCCGGAUUUAUUGGGCGUAAAGGGUGCGUAGGUGGCGUCGUAAGUCGGGUGUGAAAUUUCGGAGCUUAACUCCGAAACUGCAUUCGAUACUGCGGUGCUUGAGGACUGGAGAGGAGACUGGAAUUUACGGUGUAGCAGUGAAAUGCGUAGAGAUCGUAAGGAAGACCAGUGGCGAAGGCGGGUCUCUGGACAGUUCCUGACACUGAGGCACGAAGGCUAGGGGAGCGAACAGG